rnacentral:rRNA from 1 species
CCCGCUGAACUUAAGCAUAUCAAUAAGCGGAGGAAAAGAAACUAACAAGGAUUCCCCUAGUAACGGCGAGUGAAGCGGGAUGAGCUCAAAUUUGAAAUUUGGCUGGUUUACUAGUCCGAGUUGUAAUUUAAAGAAGCGUUUUCGGUGGCAGCCUGGGUAUAAAUCCUUCGGAAUAGGGUAUCAUAGAGGGUGAGAAUCCCGUCUUUGACCUAGUGCAUGCUACUAUGUGAUACGUUUUCAAAGAGUCGAGUUGUUUGGGAAUGCAGCUCAAAAUGGGUGGUAAAUUUCAUCUAAAGCUAAAUAUUGGCGAGAGACCGAUAGCGAACAAGUACCGUGAGGGAAAGAUGAAAAGAACUUUGAAAAGAGAGUUAAACAGUGCGUGAAAUUGUUGAAAGGGAAACGCUUGAAGUCAGUCGCGUCCGCCGAGACUCAGCCUCGCUCCGGCUUGGUGUAUUUCUCGGUCGACGGGUCAGCAUCAAUUUUGCCCCUCGGAUAAUGGCAAGGGAAAGGUGGCACCUUUGCGGGUGUGUUAUAGUCUUUUGUCGCAUGCGAGGGGCGAGAUUGAGGAUCUCAGCACGCGCACCUUUGGGUGUGUCGGGGCCUCGGCCCACGCCACGUGCUUAGGAUGCUGGCAUAAUGGCUUUAAACGACCCGUCUUGAAACACGG